rnacentral:rRNA from 1 species
ACGGGGUCCGCACAAGCGGUGGAGCUACGUGGUUUUAAUUCGACGCAACGCGAAAAACCUUACCUGGGUUUGACAUGCCGAGUACCCGAUGGAAACAUUGGGGUGCCCCGUAAGGGGAACUUGGACACAGGUGCUGCAUGGCUGUCGUCAGCUCGUGCCGUGAGGUGUUGGGUUAAGUCCCGCAACGAGCGCAACCCUCACCCUUAGUUGCCAUCAUUAAGUUGGGCACCCUAAGGGAACUGCCGCAGUUAAUGCGGAGGAAGGUGGGGAUGACGUCAAGUCCUCAUGGCCCUUAUAGGUGGGGCUACACACGUCAUACAAUGGAUGGUACAAAGGGUCGCCAACCCGCGAGGGGGAGCCAAUCCCAUAAAGCCAUUCGUAGUCCGGAUCGCAGUCUGCAACUCGACUGCGUGAAGUCGGAAUCGCUAGUAAUCGUGGAUCAGAAUGUCACGGUGAAUACGUUCCCGGGUCUU